rnacentral:ncRNA from 1 species
GAAAGCCGUGUGCAAUGAAAAAUGCAAGCACGACUUGGGGAAGGGUCGUAACUUGUUUAUUUAAUUUAAGAUUAACAUUUAUUUUAUUUAACAAGGAAUUUAUCUACUCCAU